UCAGGAACGGUUGACCUUUGAGGAUGUGGCCAUCGAAUUCACUCAGGAGGAGUGGGAAUGCCUGGACCCUGCUCAGAGGGCCUUGUACAGGGACGUGAUGGUGGAGACCUACAGGAACCUGAUCUCCCUGGGAUUUUGCAGCAGUUAAGAACUAAACAUAUGCAGAGAGCAGCUCCUUGAAAGAGAAAAAGAAAUCGCUGAACUGAAAGCGGAAAGGAACACCACCAGGUCUGUGCAGGUCUGUUGCCAACACACCGCUUACACCUGAGCGGCCGUGACAGUCGUGUGAGCCCACAGCGUGCAGAAGGCCGUUUUGAUCUUAGCGAUUUCCCGUAAGUGCUUUAUUUCGUCCCUCAGCAAACAAGGCCGUUUAAGGAUUCCUUCCGUUAGAGGUCUUCUGAUGGUUCUCACGAGGAAGACCCGGCCAAAGUGCCCGAGCUCCGGGAAAUCUCAGACAAGCAGCCAAGAGCAGAGCCAGAUGAAGGAGCUGGACGCCCGGCCGCCUUCGGUACUCACAUGACAGAGCGGGAGGAAGGUCUGUACACGGCCGGAGAAGACCUCAUCGUAUCUGAGGAAGUGAACACGAAAUUGCAACUGAGGUGAGUGACAUUACCUCAUCGUAUCUGAGGAAGUGAACACGAAAUUGCAACUGAGGUGAGUGACAUUACAUGUGUCAGUGUUGUCAAGGGAACCAGACAUAAUCUAAGACAAAUAUGGUGAAUUGGCUGUGUGCACCUUCUGUGUGGUUCUCAGUGGGUCCUCACACAACCCAGAGAACAGGGCUGGCAACGAUCGUCUGCCUUGAGUAACUCAGCCUCCCCUGGAUGUCCAGGCCUUACUGCCUCUGGAGCAUUUUUGUGUGUUUGUUUUGUUGUCUGGUCAGAAAGUUUGCCUUUACACUUUGCUUCACUCUCCCUGCAGAUACUCCUCCACCUGUUACAGAAACCCCUAACUUGGCCGUGUUGAUUUUCUCUCAAUUUCAACCACUCUGCUUCCUCCUAGCUGGUAUGUCAGAGACAGAAAACUCAUCUCAAGAUGCCUUGGGCCUCAGCAAAUUGGGAGGACAGGCUGAAAACAAUGAAAAACAAGAGUCUUUAGAGGUCGAUCCUGAAAGUGGAAAACAGGCUGUUUAAUGCUUGCAAUCAACACACCCCCUUCCUGAGUCACCACCACACACACAGGGAAGCCCUCAGCAUGUGGAACAGACGGUCCUCUGCUACCCACCGUCCCAGGAGGGACUCAGGACAGAAAACUCCCACACAGAGACCAACAAGAUUGUUUCUUGCAUUACCAAGUGUGUGACUGAGCCUCCGGUAAAAAUGAUGACUAGGCGACUUGAAACAAGUGACCAAAUAUAUAGUCUUAUAAGACCAAUGAUUUUAAUAGCGUAACUCUACAUAUGGGAAGAAGCAACAAGAGAGAACCAUUUCCUGGACCACAACAGACUGGUAAGACACCAUGCAGAGGCCUUUGGCUACUGUUGUAUUAGGGGCAGGGCGCAUGCGGGACGUCGCCGGUGCAGUGUGGCAGUGGCCCUGUGGCCACAGUCUCCUCGGGCCGCAGUCCAGCUCCCAUUUGCCCACUCGCCCCCUUUGCCGGCGCAGUCACCAAGCCUGCAACAACCAACCACGCAGCACCCCUCCUCUGUUUAAAAGGAGCCCGAAAUCUGACUGGGGGAAGAUGGCUCGUGGAGACACUGGUCCGCCCUCUUCUUUCCCAAAUAAAAAGUCGCUCUGCCUUGCCCCAGCAACUCGCCUCUCAAUUUACUGGCCUGUCGUGCAGCAAGCAGAACGACCUUGGACUCUCUAUCAAUUUUGGCGAAGCCGGCCAGGAGCCUUGCUGCUUGUGGUCAGCCCCGGUUGGGGAUUUUCGGGUAAGGCCCUAACAGCUGCUGGGACCGCUUGUCCUGAGGAUCUUCCCUUUAAAAUUCCCUAAAGCGGCACCAGAUGCCCCAGCGCUUGGCAGUGGGAGCAAGGAAUCGACAUCUGGGAGCUCCAUACAGAUGGAAUCGACGGGCUCCAGACAGUAGGUCACUUCAGCCCUAAAGCCAGCCACCAUCGCUCCCGACUGCGGCUGCACAAUCCCCAGAGCACAGCUGCCUGCGCGUCGUGGGGCUGGUGUGCUCCGGCAGACCAGGCCGAACAGACAGCUCCUGGCUGAGGCAGGCACGGACGGACCUGUUCACAGUAGGUGACGUGCUGGGUAUGUGGUGGUUAACCCUUGAAAGGACUGACUCUCGCUAUGCAUUCUCCGUGGGGCAUGCUCACGGCGCCAUCUGGAAAGAAAGGGGGCUCCUCACUUCAAACAAUAAAGACAUAAAACAUGCUUCUGAAAUCUUGUCCCUGUUAGAAGCAGUCCACAAGCCCUCACAAGUGGCCGUAAUGCACCGCCCAGGCCACCAGAAGGGUGAGACUCAUAUAACAAAAGGCAACCGGUUAGCUGACCAAGCUGCAAAGAAAAUAGCAAAGGCAGGCGAUUACCAAGCCAUCAUAGGGUCACUUCUCCCGCAGACUGACUUGUCAAAAUACCAGCCGGAAUAUUCAGAAAAGGACGAGGAGAGGGCCGAAGAGAGGGAAUUCACUCUUGAUCACACCUCGCCUGGCUAGAAAUGUAGUGCACAUGGAACUGACUUGAUUUCUGAGGCUCUCGCGGACACUGCUGCAGCACAUUCGUAACAGUACCCACCACGGGAGAGAUGCCGCCUUACAGUGCGAUUCAAAAGUAUAUAAUGGGGCCUGACCUACAGAGGGCCAUCCAGGGAGUCACUGAAAAUUGCAUGAUUUGUGCUAAAAAUAACCCAAAUACUGCUGUCAGAUCUCCCCAGAUGGGGACCCAACACAGAGGACUCCGCGAGCCACCAAGGACUGGCAAAUAGACUUUACUCAAGUUGAUAGGGACAGAGUAAAGGGACAAAGUAGGCGGUUGAAUAGUUAAUCCCACUAGGGGAGUGCAAGUAAAGAAAAAAGCAUGGGAGACCCCUGUUAAGUUAAUGAUCACUCAAAUGAGCAGGUUUGCUUAACCACAAAACCAAGCAACAGAAGCCUGAGACACGCCCCCGAACAAUAAAACAAGGGUCGCCUGAGACCCACAUCUGCCCAGUGAGCUCAGUAAGUUGACCCCUAGACAUGCUCCUCUGCGCACACUAAAAACAAGUAUAUAAGGAGAAGGUGACAUGCUGAAACCUGAGAUGGUUUAUCAUAUUUUAGUAUAUGUUACCACCUUUUUUCCUCACUUCCGUUGCUCCAUGACAGUCCCAGUUUGGCCAUGUAGGGACAAGAAAAAUCCCCCACCUGAUGUGGAGGCAGAGCUGAGGAUGGAAGCUUGACGUCUACUCAAGAAUGAGGAAGGAGGUGGUCCUCUCCCCCUCCCCACUUCUCCUUUGAUUAUAAAACAGGAGCCCACUAAGUUCUGGGGGCGGCACCUUCUCGCCCACCCGCAAGCCUCACAAGCAUGCUAGUCUAAUAGAUCACUUUGCCUCUCCCUGAAGAACGAGCUCCUCAGAGCCCCCCAAGACACAUUUCAGUGGUUUCAGCUGGCGACCACAAAGGGGCAGUGGUAAGAUAAGGAGGAGGGGGGUCGGGUCCUAGAGGGGCUGUGGAUGCCAGGAGGACUGGGGAGGGCACUCCCCCAAUGUGUGCCCCUUUUAGGCGGCUGGUCAACCCCGAAUGCUUUAGGACUCUGAUGAGAGAUCUAGAUACAGACCAGAGGAACAAUGAUAUGGAUGUUUAGAGACACAGAACCAGAGGAAUGCUGGCAGUCAGCAUGGCUUGCCACAGAAAGAUGCUGUGCAUGUUUAGGGACCCGGAAGGACACAUACAUUCUGGGUCUGUCCCUGUUGUACUCAAGUCUGUAAACUUAACUAUUCCAACUGUUAUUUAUAAGCUGAUAAGUUUUGUUUUGCAAUGCCUGUCUUAUGAACAAGUUUUAAAAUGAAACUAUGAGAUCUCUGUCUGUCUGGAUAUAUGUGUGUCUUAUGUGGUCUUGUCUUUAGAUAGUAUUGCUAAGGUUAAUUUGUAAAUGAGCUCAAUUUAAUUGGCUUAAAAAAAUAAGUGCUUACAAAUUAAACAUUUCUGAAUACAAGAGAAACUAAGCUAAAUGGAUUUCAGGUUCACAUGACCUGAGAAAUAUUUAAUAUUAAAUUAAUAUUUGGUAUUAAAGUUUGUUGUUAUUAAAGUUUGUUAAUUAAUAUAGACAUGUCUUUAGAGUCAUCAACAUGAAGCACAGUAUUUUUAUUGUACCUGGGUUUGCUGAAAGUCACUAAGUUCAUACUAUUUUUGUUGUAAAAUCUGUCAGCAAGAACAUUAACCCCUCAUUGUCAGACUUGUACUUGUAGCAUGGCCACUGUCUGCUCCUAAAUGAGCGAACUUAAAUGGGUAAAUAACAGCUGCAAAUUGAACAGUCAGGGCUAUGGGAAAUCCAAGACAGCCACUUGGCUUCUCCUGGAUCCCUGGCAAACCCCAUUUUUUAUUUAAUGGUUUAAACCCUUUCUUGGCUACAAGGCUGAUACCCUCACAGUGGAAAAAAGAAUGGUUUAAAAACGUGUUUUGGGCUUCCCUGGUGGCGCAGGGGUUGGGAGUCCACCUGCCGAUGCAGGGGACACGAGUUCGUGCCCCGGUCCAAUCCCACAUGCCGCGGAGCGG